GACGAACGCUGGCGGCGUGCCUAACACAUGCAAGUCGAACGGACAGGCCCUGCUUGCGGGGUGCUCGAGUGGCGAACGGACGAGUAACACGUAGGUGAACUACCUCUUUCUAUGAGCUAGGCCUGUGCAGCAAGCUCUGAUACUGACUAGAUCAUUGCUGUAAGUGGUUUGGUGGAAAGAUUAGUUUAGGUUAGGGAUGAGCUCGCGGCCUAUCCGCUUGUUGGUGGGGUAAUGGCAUAGCAAAGCGUCACCGGGUAGCCGGCCUGAGAGGGUGAAAGGCAACAUCGGGACUGAGACAGGGGGCAGACUCCGGCGGUAUGCAGCAAUGGGGAAAAGUGCACAAUGGGAACAAGCCUGAUGCAGCGAAGCCGUGUGGGAGAUAAAGGCCUUCGGGUUGGAAACACCUGUCAGCCAUGACGAAGCCCAUGUGGUGACGGUAGCUAAAGAAGAAGCACCGGCUAACUACGUG
rnacentral:rRNA from 1 species